CCGACCUGCACGAAUGGCGUAAUGAUGGCCAGGCUGUCUCCACCCGAGACUCAGUGAAAUUGAACUCGCUGUGAAGAUGCAGUGUACCCGCGGCAAGACGGAAAGACCCCGUGAACCUUUACUAUAGCUUGACACUGAACAUUGAGCCUUGAUGUGUAGGAUAGGUGGGAGGCUUUGAAGUGUGGACGCCAGUCUGCAUGGAGCCGACCUUGAAAUACCACCCUUUAAUGUUUGAUGUUCUAACGUGGACCCGUGAUCCGGGUUGCGGACAGUGUCUGGUGGGUAGUUUGACUGGGGCGGUCUCCUCCUAAAGAGUAACGGAGGAGCACGAAGGUUGGCUAAUCCUGGUCGGACAUCAGGAGGUUAGUGCAAUGGCAUAAGCCAGCUUGACUGCGAGCGUGACGGCGCGAGCAGGUGCGAAAGCAGGUCAUAGUGAUCCGGUGGUUCUGAAUGGAAGGGCCAUCGCUCAACGGAUAAAAGGUACUCCGGGGAUAACAGGCUGAUACCGCCCAAGAGUUCAUAUCGACGGCGGUGUUUGGCACCUCGAUGUCGGCUCAUCACAUCCUGGGGCUGAAGUAGGUCCCAAGGGUAUGGCUGUUCGCCAUUUAAAGUGGUACGCGAGCUGGGUUUAGAACGUCGUGAGACAGUUCGGUCCCUAUCUGCCGUGGGCGCUGGAGAACUGAGGGGGGCUGCUCCUAGUACGAGAGGACCGGAGUGGACGCAUCACUGGUGUUCGGGUUGUCAUGCCAAUGGCACUGCCCGGUAGCUAAAUGCGGAAGAGAUAAGUGCUGAAAGCAUCUAAGCACGAAACUUGCCCCGAGAUGAGUUCUCCCUGACCCUUUAAGGGUCCUGAAGGAACGUUGAAGACGACGACGUUGAUAGGCCGGGUGUGUAAGCGCAGCGAUGCGUUGAGCUAACCGGUACUAAUGAACCGUGAGGCUUAACCUUACAACGCCGAAGGUGUUU
rnacentral:rRNA from 1 species